UACGAAGGGGGCUAGCGUUGCUCGGAAUCACUGGGCGUAAAGCGCACGUAGGCGGAUUGUUAAGUCAGGGGUGAAAUCCUGGAGCUCAACUCCAGAACUGCCUUUGAUACUGGCGAUCUUGAGUCCGGGAGAGGUGAGUGGAACUGCGAGUGUAGAGGUGAAAUUCGUAGAUAUUCGCAAGAACACCAGUGGCGAAGGCGGCUCACUGGCCCGGUACUGACGCUGAGGUGCGAAAGCGUGGGAGCGAACGAGG
rnacentral:rRNA from 1 species